UACGAAGGGGGCUAGCGUUGCUCGGAAUUACUGGGCGUAAAGGGCGCGUAGGCGGGUCGUUUAGUUAGAGGUGAAAGCCCAGGGCUCAACCCUGGAAUUGCCUUUAAUACUGGCGGCCUUGAGUAUGGCAGAGGUGUGUGGAACUCCGAGUGUAGAGGUGAAAUUCGUAGAUAUUCGGAAGAACACCAGUGGCGAAGGCGACACACUGGGCCAUUACUGACGCUGAGGCGCGAAAGCCAGGGGAGCAAACGGG
rnacentral:rRNA from 1 species